GUGGGGAAUAUUGGACAAUGGGCGAAAGCCUGAUCCAGCCAUGCCGCGUGUGUGAAGAAGGUCUUCGGAUUGUAAAGCACUUUAAGUUGGGAGGAAGGGCAGUAAGUUAAUACCUUGCUGUUUUGACGUUACCGACAGAAUAAGCACCGGCUAACUUCGUGCCAGCAGCCGCGGUAAUACGAAGGGUGCAAGCGUUAAUCGGAAUUACUGGGCGUAAAGCGCGCGUAGGUGGUUUUGUAAGUUGGAGGUGAAAUCCCCGGGCUCAACCUGGGAACUGCCUACAAAACUGCAUGACUAGAGUACGGUAGAGGGAAGUGGAAUUUCCUGUGUAGCGGUGAAAUGCGUAGAUAUAGGAAGGAACACCAGUGGCGAAGGCGACUACCUGGACUGAUACUGACACUGAGGUGCGAAAGCGUGGGGAGCAAACAGGAUUAGAUACCCCGGUAGUCC
rnacentral:rRNA from 1 species